CUGCCUCAGCCUCCUGAGUAGCUGUGAUUACAGGCACGUGCCACCAUGCCCAGCUAAUUUUUUGUAUUUUUAGUAGAGACGGGGUUUCACCAUGUUGACCAGGAUAGUCUCGAUCUCCUGACCUCAUGAUCCACCCGCCUCGGCCUCCCAAAGUGCUGGGAUCACAGGCGUGAGCCACCGCGCCCGGCCUGGUCUGCUUCUCUUUUAAACAUAAGUUUUAGUUUCAGAUCAUCUCUCCCAAGUUCAAAGUUCCACAAAUCUCUAGAGCGGGAGCAAAAUACUGCAAGUCUCUUUGAUAAAGUACAUUGAGAGCCACCUUUGCUCCAGUUUCCAUCAGGUUUCUCAUCUUCAUCUGAGAUCACCUCAGCCUAGAUUUUAUUGCCAAUAUCACUAUCAGCAUUUUGGUCAAAAACAUUCAACAAGUUUCUAGGAAGUUCCAAACUUUCCCACAUCUUCCUGUCUUCUGGCCCCUCCAAGUCUCUUUCCAUAUUUUUCUGUCUUCCCCUGAGGCCUUCAAACUUUCCCACAUUUUUCUGCCUUCUUCUGAGGCCUUCAGACUUUUUCAACUUCUGACUGUUUCCCAGCUCCAAAGUUGCUUUCACAUUUUGGGUAUCCCUGAAGCAGCACCCUACUCCCUCAGUAUCAAUUUACUGUAUUAGUUCUUUCUCACGCUACUGUGAAGAAAUACCCAAGACUGGGUAAUUUAUAAAGAAAAGAGGUUUAAUUGACUCACAGUUCCACAGGGAUAGGGAAGCCCCGGGAAACUUACAAUAAUGGCAGAAGACACUGCUUUGCAGGGCAGAAAGAGAGACAAUGAGUCCUGAAUAAAGGGGAAAGCCCCUUACAAAACCAUUAGAUCUCCUGAGAACUCACUCCCUACCGUGAGAACAGUACGGGGGUAACCACCCUCAUGAUUCAAUUGCUUUUCACUGGGUCCCCCUUACACAAUACAUAAGGAUUAUGGGAACUAUAGGUCGAGAUGAGAUUUGGGUGGGGACAUCCCCAAACCAUAUCAAGGUCCUCAUGGUCUUUCAAGCAGGGGGAAGAAGGAAAGGGGCCUGUCCUGAUUCUGUUCCCGUGGAGCCUGGGAGCUAUGGUUCUAGGAUCAGAGAAAGAAGGAAGACACGGACCAGGAGAGAGAAAUGAGCAAGACAAAUGGGAUCACCUCAGAGGCUCCAUUCCAUUGGCCAUGGUAAGGGAGCCCAGAAAAAAAAAGCCCAUCUCCUGAAACAGAUUAUUGGAAACAGAUGCUUGGUGCCACAAACAAAAAUUAGCACUGAGACAAGGAAUCUCUUAUCACUGAAAGUUUUGCUCCCUGGGCUGCAGAAAGCACACUCUCACUAGCCACCUUGCCACAAGAAUACAAUGAAGUACAAUGAACAACGGAAAAAUAGACAAAUUUAU
rnacentral:lncRNA from 13 species